rnacentral:rRNA from 1 species
UGCGUAGGCGGAAAAUUAAGUCAGUAGUGAAAUCCUGCAGCUUAACUGUAGAACUGUUAUUGAUACUGGUUUUCUUGAAUAUAGUUGAGGUAGGCGGAAUGUGUAAUGUAGCGGUGAAAUGCUUAGAUAUUACACAGAACACCGAUUGCGAAGGCAGCUUACUAAGCUAUGAUUGACGCUGAGGUACGAAAGCGUGGGGAGCGAACAGGAUUAGAUACCCUGGUAGUCC